rnacentral:rRNA from 1 species
GAUGAACGCUGGCGGCGUGCCUAAUACAUGCAAGUCGAGCGAACGGACGAGAAGCUUGCUUCUCUGAUGUUAGCGGCGGACGUGUGAGUAACACGUGGAUAACCUACCUAUAAUACUGGGAUAACUUCGGGAAACCGUAGCUAAUACCGGCUAAUAUUUUGAACCGCAUGGUUCAAAAGUGAAAGACGGUCUUGCUGUCACUUAUAGCUGGAUCCGCGCUGCAUUAGCUAGUUGGUAAGGUAACGGCUUACCAAGGCAACGAUGCAUAGCCGACCUGAGAGGGUGAUCGGCAACACUGGAACUGAGACACGGACCAGACUACUACGGGAGGCAGCAGUAGGGAAUAUUCCGCAAAGGGCGAAAGCAUGACGGAGCAACGCCGCGUGAGUGAUGAAGGUCUUCGGAUCGUAAAACUCUGUUAUUAGGGAAGAAAAUAUGUGGAAGUAAAUGUGCACAUCUUGACGGUAACUAAUCAGAAAGCCACGGCUAACUACGUG